rnacentral:rRNA from 1 species
GAUGAACGCUAGCGGCGGGCCUAAUACAUGCAAGUCGAACGGGAAAGGUGGCAACACCUUGAGAGUGGCGUACGGGUGCGUAACGCGUAUACAACCUGCCUGUUACACGGGGAUAGCCUUGCGAAAGCGAGAUUAAUACCCGAUGGUACUAUUGAGCGGCAUCGCUUGGUAGUUAAAGCUGAGGCGGUAACAGAGGGGUAUUCGUCCCAUUAGCUAGUUGGUAGUGUAACGGACUACCAAGGCGACGAUGGGUAGGGGUUCUGAGAGGAUGAUCCCCCACACUGGUACUGAGAUACGGACCAGACUCCUACGGGAGGCAGCAGUAGGGAAUAUUGGGCAAUGGACGGAAGUCUGACCCAGCCACGCCGCGUGCAGGAAGAAGGUCCUCUGGAUUGUAAACUGCUUUUCUUGGGGAAGAAAACCCUUCUGCGGAAGGAAUUGACGGUACUCAAGGAAUAAGCAUCGGCUAACUCCGUG